rnacentral:lncRNA from 1 species
CUCUGGUUUAAUUCCUAGGUCCUUGAUCCAUUUUGAGUUAAGUCUUUUGCAUGGUGAGAGAUAGGGGUUGAAUUUCAUUUUGUUGCAUAUGGAUUUCCAUUUUUUCCAAGCACCAUUUGUUGAAGAUGCUAUCUUUUCUCCAGUGCAUGUUGGGCCAAGGACCUGAACAGACACUUCUCAAAAGAGGAUAUACAAUCAAUCAACAACUAUAUGAAAAAUAUUCAUCAUCUCUAGUAAACAGAGAAAUUCAAAUCAAAAUUACUCUAAGAUAUCAUCACACUCCAGUCAGAAUGGCAGCUAUUAUGACGACAAACCACAAAAAGUGUUGGCAAGGAGGUGGGGAAAAAGGCACACUCAUACAUUGCUAGGGGUGGGACUGCAAAUUGAUACAGCCAAUAUGGAAAGCAGUAUGGAGAUUCCUUGGAAAUAUGGGAAUGGAACUACCAUUUGAUCCAGCUAUCCCUCUCUUUGGACUAUACCCAAAGGACUUAAAAACAGCAUACUACAGGGACACAGUCACAUCAAUGUUUAUAGAAGCACAAUUUACAAUAGCUAAACUGUGGAGUCAACCUAGAUGCCCUUCAGUGGAUGAAUGGAUAAAAAAAAAUGUGGCAUAUAUACACAAUGGAAUUUUACUCAGCAAUAACAGAGAAUAAAAUCAUUGGCACUUUCAGGUAAAUGGAUAGCAUUGGAGAAGAUAAUGCUAAGUGAAAUUAGCCAAUUCCAAAAAAAAAAAAAAAACAAAUGCUGAAUGUUUUCUCUGAUAUAAGAAGGCUGACUCAUAGUGGGGUAGGGAGGUACAGCAUGGGAGGAUUAGAUGAAUGCUAGAUAGAUAAGAAGGAUGGGAGUGAAAGGGAGGGGGCAGGGGAUUAGUAAGAGCAGUGGAAUGUGAUGGACAUCAUUACCCAAAGUACAUGCAUGAAGACUCAAAUUUGGUGUCAAGGUACUUUAUAUGUAAACAUAGAUAUGAAAAUUGUGUUAUAUAUGUGUAACAAGAAUUGUAAUGCAAAAAAAAAAAAACCAAAGUACAUGUAUAAAGGCAUGAACUGGCAUGAAAAUACCUUAUAUGCAAAGAUAUGAAAAAAUGUACUCUAUAUGUGUAAUAAGAAUUGUAAUGCAUUCCACUGUCGUGUAUUUUUUAAAAAAUAAAAUCAAUAAAACUAAA